rnacentral:lncRNA from 1 species
GCCGGGGCGUCCCCCGCGGGAGCCCGCAGCCACCCGGGACGCGCAUCCAGACGUGGCGCUUCGGACCGGGCACGCUGCGCCCGGGGGCUCGGCGGACCCCGCGUAGCCGCCGCUUCGGAGCUUGUGCGGCGCGGGCUGGCCAGCGGGGCGGCCAGGGCCCGGCCCGCCUCCCCAGCGCCCGCCCGGCUUCUCCCCCUGGCGGUGGGAGCCUCGGCGGCCGCUGGCGACACUAGGCGCACUGAAGCCCGAGCCGAGCCGAGCCCGAGCCGCCGCCGCCGCCGCCGCUGCUGCGCACCGCUCCCGGGCUCCCUCCCAGCGCGCCGGCCGGGGUGUGGGGGGCGGCGGGCCGGAGGGGCGAGGGCGGGCCAGGGGGCGCACACGGGGGUUGGCGCGGAAGACAGGACCCUCAGCCUCGAGGGAGCCCCUAGGUGACCAGGCAAAAUGGCAGUUCCUUCCAGCUGGUCCUCAGAUGGGCACAUCUAUUAGCCUCUGCUCUUGUAAGAAGUUAGCUGCAGAACCCACAUGUGAAUCCUUGUAGGACUCUGGAGAAGAUCAAAUGGGAGCUUAGAUGUGGAAGCUCUUUGGAAACCAAGAAACACUCUGAAAAUGAAAAGGGUGGAAGAGUAAACUGUUCCUGUUUCUCCAUCUUGACAGGAAGCAGAAGUUCUCCUUAGCUGAUUUUUCUUCUUGCCUUAUACUGGGUUCUUUAACACCAGAACAAAAAUAAAUAAAUAAAAGAAUCUUCCAGAAAUUCAUGAAGAGACUUCAGGUCAGGAAAGCCUGAACUUUCUCAUCCAACACCCGUUCAAGUCGGAGGAUGCUGAUUAAUUCAUGAUGGAAAGGUAUCAAUUUCACAGCCCAGACCUCUACAUUCUUGAAAUGCUCUUCUCAUGGGAGACAUUAAAUAAGCUUUGAAUUAACUGCACCUGUUCAUUCCAUUCCAACCUGGCUGUUCUCAAGGGCAUUAGAAGAAGCAAGAAAAGAAGAUAUUGUGACCAGUGGUUCACAGCAAUGCCCAGAAGAGUUAAAAGUGGUCUGAUGAAGAGUGUCUAGCCCUGCAGUGUUGGGAGGUAGGAAGCAGGAUGUUGCAGAAACUCAGCAGCCUGGGUGUCAAGGCACAUAAGUCAAGAAGGCCACUUUGGGCAGCAAAUAAAGAAACCAAGCUGACACCCAGAUAUGGAUAGUGAGAAAAGCUACUGUUAAGUGAAGUACACAGGACUUUGGGACGUAGGUA